rnacentral:rRNA from 1 species
ACGCUGACACGCUGACAGAUGCUUAACAUAUGCAAGUCUACUUGAACUUCGGUUUGGGUGGCGGACGGGUGAGUAACGCGUAAAGAACUUGCCUCACAGUUAGGGACAACAUUUGGAAACGAAUGCUAAUACCUGAUAUUAUGAUUUUAGGGCAUCCUAAGAUUAUGAAAGCUAUAUGCGCUGUGAGAGAGCUUUGCGUCCCAUUAGCUAGUUGGAGAGGUAACGGCUCACCAAGGCGAUGAUGGGUAGCCGGCCUGAGAGGGUGAACGGCCACAAGGGGACUGAGACACGGCCCUUACUCCUACGGAGGCAGCAGUGGGGAAUAUUGGACAAUGGACCAAAAGUCUGAUCCAGCAAUUCUGUGUGCACGAUGACGUUUUUCGGAAUGUAAAGUGCUUUCAGUUGGGAAGAAAAAAAUGACGGUACCAACAGAAGAAGUGACGGCUAAAUACGUGCCAGCAGCCGCGGUAAUACGUAUGUCACAAGCGUUAUCCGGAUUUAUUGGGCGUAAAGCGCGUCUAGGUGGUUAUGUAAGUCUGAUGUGAAAAUGCAGGGCUCAACUCUGUAUUGCGUUGGAAACUGCAUGACUAGAGUACUGGAGAGGUAAGCGGAACUACAAGUGUAGAGGUGAAAUUCGUAGAUAUUUGUAGGAAUGCCGAUGGGGAAGCCAGCUUACUGGACAGAUACUGACGCUAAAGCGCGAAAGCGUGGGUAGCAAACAGGAUUAGAUACCCUGGUAGUCCACGCCGUAAACGAUGAUUACUAGGUGUUGGGGGUCGAACCUCAGCGCCCAAGCUAACGCGAUAAGUAAUCCGCCUGGGGAGUACGUACGCAAGUAUGAAACUCAAAGGAAUUGACGGGGACCCGCACAAGCGGUGGAGCAUGUGGUUUAAUUCGACGCAACGCGAGGAACCUUACCAGCGU